GAUGAACGCUGGCGGCGUGCCUAAUACAUGCAAGUCGAGCGAACAGACGAGGAGCUUGCUCCUCUGACGUUAGCGGCGGACAGGUGAGUAACACGUGGAUAACCUACCUAUAAGACUGGGAUAACUUCGGGAAACCGGAGCUAAUACCGGAUAAUAUAUUGAACCGCAUGGUUCAAUAGUGAAAGACGGUUUUGCUGUCACUUAUAGAUGGAUCCGCGCCGCAUUAGCUAGUUGGUAAGGUAACGGCUUACCAAGGCGACGAUGCGUAGCCGACCUGAGAGGGUGAUCGGCCAAACUGGAACUGAGACACGGUCCAGACUCCUACGGGAGGCAGCAGUAGGGAAUCUUCCGCAAUGGGCGAAAGCCUGACGGAGCAACGCCGCGUGAGUGAUGAAGGUCUUCGGAUCGUAAAACUCUGUUAUUAGGGAAGAACAAAUGUGUAAGUAACUAUGCACGUCUUGACGGUACCUAAUCAGAAAGCCACGGCUAACUACGUG
rnacentral:rRNA from 1 species